UUAAGUUCAGCGGGUAUUCCUACCUGAUCCGAGGUCAACAUUUAGAUUUUCAUUAAAGAGACAGGCUCCCAUCUUCCACCAUAGCGAUGUUUGUACGCCUGAGGUUGAUUGUAACCGUCGCUGAUUUUGAGGUAUGCCUUCCGGCAGUACCCAACAUCAAACAAUGAUGUUUGAGGGGUGUAAUGACGCUCGAACAGGCA
rnacentral:misc_RNA from 1 species